GACGAACGCUGGCGGCGUGCUUAACACAUGCAAGUCGAACGGUGAACCAGGGCUUGCCCUGGGGAUCAGUGGCGAACGGGUGAGUAACACGUGGGCAACCUGCCCCUGACUCCGGGAUAACCCCUCGAAAGAGGUGCUAAUACCGGAUACGACCACUUCGGGCCUCCGAUGGUGGUGGAAAGAAUUUUGGUCAGGGAUGGGCCCGCGGCCUAUCAGCUUGUUGGUGGGGUAACGGCCCACCAAGGCGACGACGGGUAGCCGGCCUGAGAGGGCGACCGGCCACACUGGGACUGAGACACGGCCCAGACUCCUACGGGAGGCAGCAGUGGGGAAUAUUGCGCAAUGGGCGAAAGCCUGACGCAGCGACGCCGCGUGAGGGACGACGGCCUUCGGGUUGUAAACCUCUUUCAGCAGGGACGAAGCGCAAGUGACGGUACCUGCAGAAGAAGCACCGGCUAACUACGUGCCAGCAGCCGCCGCCGUAA
rnacentral:rRNA from 1 species